rnacentral:rRNA from 1 species
UACGAAGGGGGCUAGCGUUGUUCGGAAUCACUGGGCGUAAAGCGCACGUAGGCGGAUCUUUAAGUCAGGGGUGAAAUCCCGAGGCUCAACCUCGGAACUGCCUUUGAUACUGGGGAUCUCGAGUCCGGGAGAGGUGAGUGGAACUGCGAGUGUAGAGGUGAAAUUCGUAGAUAUUCGCAAGAACACCAGUGGCGAAGGCGGCUCACUGGCCCGGUACUGACGCUGAGGUGCGAAAGCGUGGGAGCAACA